AUUGAACGCUGGCGGAAUGCUUUACACAUGCAAGUCGAACGGCAGCACGGGGGCAGCCCUGGUGGCGAGUGGCGAACGGGUGAGUAAUACAUCGGAACGUGCCCGGUCGUGGGGGAUAACGUAGCGAAAGUUACGCUAAUACCGCAUACGAUCUGAGGAUGAAAGCGGGGGACCUUCGGGCCUCGCGCGAUCGGAGCGGCCGAUGUCAGAUUAGGUAGUUGGUGGGGUAAAGGCCUACCAAGCCGGCGAUCUGUAGCUGGUCUGAGAGGACGACCAGCCACACUGGGACUGAGACACGGCCCAGACUCCUACGGGAGGCAGCAGUGGGAAUUUUGGACAAUGGGCGCAAGCCUGAUCCAGCCAUUCCGCGUGCAGGACGAAGGCCUUCGGGUUGUAAACUGCUUUUGUACGGAACGAAAAGGCUCUGGCUAAUACCUGGGGCUCAUGACGGUACCGUAAGAAUAAGCACCGGCUAACUACGUG
rnacentral:rRNA from 1 species